UAUUACACUUACACCAAGCUCCUGGCCAUCUCUUGUGGCUUCAAGCAGAACCCCAAGCAGUUCAUGAUCACCUGGAUCUUGCAGAUGCACAACCAGUGGGCCACGCCCUGUCCUUGAACUCCUGGGAGCUGGUGGUGCUAAUGGGCAACUUGACUCACAAUGCCAUCUUCAACUACCACUGCAAUGCCUUGUGGGAAAGUGGCAUGGCACUGCUUGCCUGGCUGCUCAGAGCCUGGUGCCAGCGCUAAAAGUCCUUCCUGCCCUUUGAGGCCACCGAGCUGCCUUUCUAGCCCUGGACCACCAAGGAGGAGGGCAUCCAGCUGGUGUGCAAGACAGGCAUGCUCGACUGGAUCUACUGUGAGCCCCUCUCGGCCUCCUUGGACCCCUUGUCCCCCUCACAUGAGCCAGUGGCACCCAAGGACAUGCCCUUCACUCAGGGCCUACAGCAGUGUCUGCUGCUGGCAACACCUGCUGCUGGCAGCACCCUCAGAGCUACAUCUCUCCCUGGUCACUCUGCUAGAGGCCAUGAUGGAGCUCAGACCAUCUCCAACGUUGGCCUGCUCUGGCAUCAGAGCCAGUCACGCCACACCAGGCUCAUGCUGGAGCCCAAUCCAAUGCUCAAGCACCUCACAGGCUGGCUCCUUAGCCACAGUGUGCCCAGGGAGAAGGUGGAUAAAGAGCUCACCAAGGUCCUCCUGGAGCUGUACGGCAAAGAGGCCAAGUACAACCACAGCUACCUGGUCUGUGGGCUGGGAGACGAACAGUCCCUACCACCCCUCUACUCUGACCAGGCCAGCAGGUUGGAGCCACCCAUGCGU
rnacentral:lncRNA from 1 species